rnacentral:rRNA from 1 species
AUGCAGGCAGGCAAAUCUGGUGUUCUUCGUCAAUUUUGUUGGGUGAAGACACCGAAUUUGAGGCCCAAGGUGCACGGGGUUGAACCCCGGCCGACGCUCCACAUCGAUAUGUGCUCUGCCGUUUGCGGCGGUGCUUUCUUCGGCUCACAAAGCAGUGAUGCGAUGGUGCUCCGACGGCUGUUCAGCGUGCGGUGUUUGUCUCCUACUCCGGCGACGGUGUUGCUUGUGGACGGUGGCAGGCAAAGAUUUGGCUGUGCAAUCAACCCCCUCAAGGAUAUUUUUGUAAAUUUCUUUUAUGUGGGGUGUUUUUUGCUUCUGUGUCAUGACAGUUGUACUCUCUGGAAUUGUCUAGUGUGGACUAGGUGUGUUGUAUCUUCUAACAUUAUAUAA